GCGUCCUUAGCUCAGCUGGAUAGAGUACCUGGCUACGAACCAGGCGGGCCGAGGUUCGAAUCCUCCCAGGCGCCCCA
rnacentral:tRNA from 1 species